CCUCAAGGUUCCCUGCUGCUGCUGAGGUGAGGUGCAACCCUGCUGCUCUCCCUUGUUAGUGGCUGGUCCCUUGGCUCAGAUAUUCCUCGCACAGCUUUCAGCCUCGAAUAGCCCUGGUGGCUGAUGCCAGGCAGUGGCUCCCCUGCAGCAGAGAUGCAGUAGGAGCAUGCUCACUGCUUCCCAGUUGAGCCCUGCCAAGCUGAACGGGCACCGGCUGCAGGAGUGAUGUCCAUGGAGAUGAUGAUGAUGCUUAUGCUUGACUGAUGUCUGCUCACCCCAGCAGGAUGUCAGUUCUGGGAGCUGUGAUCCUGCAGGUUCUUUUCUCAGCAGUGGGGGAUACAACACAGUCCUUCAUCCCAUUCUCCAUGGACUGCAACCAGAGGCAGCAGCUCUUCUCCUGCAGAUGUGGGGAUUUGUUCCUUCCAGGAGCAGAACACUUGGGAGUCUGGUGAAUUCAGUGGGAAGGUUCUGCUUCACUGCACAAGGGUGAAAGGGCUGUGUGACUAGGUCCUGCAAAAGCCAUGAAUGCCAUGGGAGUUACUGCAAUGGGCCUUGGCUCUGCUGGGAGAACCAGGGACAAUAAAGCUGUUUCCCCCCUUUGUGUUGGUUGGUAGGACAACACAGGUAUGGAGAGAGGAACUGCUUGAGCUGCAAAGGGCCUUCAGGAGAAAGAGGGAUCGGAGUGGGAUGUUUCCCAGAACUGGACACUGGGCAGAGCCAGACUGUCCCACAAAUGUCAUAGAAAUGCAGUGGAGCAAUCUCCUGCUGCUCCAGCCCUGCUGUCCUCACCACCAGUGAAGUGGUAAGGUGUGAAUUUGAUGUCCCUUGUCAUCAAGAGCCAUUGAGAUCAAAGACAUUUCCUGCUGGCCUUCUUGGGGGGCUGGGUGCUGGAAGCUCUGGCUCCAAACUCUGCCCUUGCACACUUAAUGAUUUCUUUCCCUGUUCUAUGAGAAACUGCCCAGUGAGCAAAGACAACAACUUUAAAAGUUGGCUCUUGCUUGGUUAAUGCAGUGGCCCUGAGCCCCCAGAGUUCUCUCCAUGGCACUGGGAAAGCAUAAUGCAGGUAGAGAGUAAGAGACCGACAGCAGCCUGCCUCUUUCAUCUCUAAUUUGAAUGCUUUUCUUAAUGACAGUAAAUGUUUGUCCCUCAGCUAACAGAGGACUCUUUUCUUACA